CUGUCCCUAGGGCGCAGCAGUGGGGAAUAUUGCACAAUGGGGGAAACCCUGAUGCAGCGACGCCGCGUGAGCGAUGAAGUAUUUCGGUAUGUAAAGCUCUAUCAGCAGGGAAGAAAAUGACGGUACCCGACUAAGAAGCCCCGGCUAACUACGUGCCAGCAGCCGCGGUAAUACGUAGGGGGCAAGCGUUAUCCGGAUUUACUGGGUGUAAAGGGAGCGUAGACGGUCCUGCAAGCCAGAUGUGAAAGCCCGGGGCUCAACCCCGGGACUGCAUUUGGAACUGUAAGGCUAGAGUGUCGGAGAGG
rnacentral:rRNA from 1 species